rnacentral:lncRNA from 1 species
AAAAGCUGAUUCUGAGUCACUUUGCCAAGGAAGCAUGAUGUGAUUACAUUUGAAAUGCUAUGGUCAUCUUACAUCCUCUGAGACUGUGUUCCAGAAAUGGCCUUAGUACUAAGCUGUGAGAAAAGCCGUGGAUCUGCCAAAGGUUACGUAUGCUGGAAGAAGACACUUGCUCUGUGACUGCACCCUCCCAGAUUUUGGAAGCCAAACCUGGGUUUACAAGCAGCUUGCCUCAGAAGCUUGCAGAAUGACUAAUGUAGGAUCUGGAAAGAGGGAAGAAAGAUAGGCAAAAGGAGGAGGGACUUAAACCUUGAAGAAUAGCUGAUCUUGUGGGUACCAGCUUCCUACUGGCUUUGAAAACCUGUGAAAAUGGAGGCUAAUACUGGAAAACCUGACAGACCAGCCAUGCUGUUUUGUCAGAGGAGAUUUUCUGCUGCCACUUUUAAACUGCACUGCAAUUCUACACCUUGCCUCAAGAUGACUGACCUGAAAAGCAAUGAAGACAACCUAAGGGUUUCUUCUGAUUUAUGUGAACCUAAAUUUCUCUGCUGUUGUGAUGAGGAUAACCGUUAUUCAAAGAGUGGUAUUCACAGGAAAGACUCCUUAGGUAUGGCUAUGCUCUGUCUUGGAAAUGUCUUCACUAUAGCUGAUGGAUUUAAUCCCAGAAUGAAUGAUGUUGAGAGUGGGUUUGCUCCGGAAAACUUUGAGGAAGUGAAAACCUUCCACACUGAGGAAAACAGAAUUUCACCCAAUACCCCCUCAGUGACAGAGAGGACUGCUAACAGAAACAAGCCUAAGGAGAGAACUCUGUUGCAAAAACUCUGUUAAUGCAAUUUAAUGAAAACAUAAUAAGAGUUUGUUAUGAUUUUCUUCCUCCAAAACAGUACGUCACAUGUUCAAGCCAGUAAAAAUGUUUUGAUACUCAGCAAAAUUUCUUCAGUGAGGUUUUAGUGACUCCAGUAUUUUUUCUCCAGAAACCCUCUUUGAAUCUUUCAUAAGCGUGCCAGUUUUCUGGUGGGAAAAAAAAAAAAUAAACCUGAACAUAAGACAAAUUUGUUGGGGGCC